rnacentral:rRNA from 1 species
AUUGAACGCUGGCGGCAGGCCUAACACAUGCGAGUCGAGCGGAUGAAGGGAGCUUGCUCCUGGAUUCAGCGGCGGACGGGUGAGUAAUGCCUAGGAAUCUGCCUGGUAGUGGGGGAUAACGUCCGGAAACGGGCGCUAAUACCGCAUACGUCCUGAGGGAGAAAGUGGGGGAUCUUCGGACCUCACGCUAUCAGAUGAGCCUAGGUCGGAUUAGCUAGUUGGUGGGGUAAAGGCCUACCAAGGCGACGAUCCGUAACUGGUCUGAGAGGAUGAUCAGUCACACUGGAACUGAGACACGGUCCAGACUCCUACGGAGGCAGCAGUGGGGAAUAUUGGACAAUGGGCGAAAGCCUGAUCCAGCCAUACCGCGUGUGUGAAGAAGGUCUUCGGAUUGUAAAGCACUUUAAGUUGGGAGGAAGGGCAGUAAGUUAAUACCUUGCUGUUUUGACGUUACCAACAGAAUAAGCACCGGCUAACUUCGUG